GCAUAAAAAUAAGAGGUGGUCUGCCUGCUUUCAGAGUUACUGUGCAUGCAGAGACUGUGGCUUCGGAGGCCAGAAUUCCUGAUGUUGAUUCCCAGAUCUGUUCUUCCCAGCAGAUGCCUUUGGGCAGAGAAAAAGGUCCCUCCAGGCAGCCAGAUUGGUCAAAGCAAAGCUGCAAGGGACAUCACCAGAGGAGGUCUUCAAUGAAGCAUGACAAGGCAGUAAUAGACUUCUACAAGGUUGCCCUGGAGUUACAGUGAACAACAUUCACAUCCCCACCCAUUGACGCUGGAUUUGGCCACGUGGUUUGCUUUGGCCAGUGAGCUGUUAGCAGACACGAUGCAGACAGAAGCUGGAGACGCACUUGCCCUCCUGCCACCAGGUAGCUCUUCCCCUCCAGCCGGGACCCCAGAAUGAGACAUGUGGAGCAGACAUGACCCAGACCUGCAGCCUGCAGCCAAGUCCCACCGAACACAGCUGAGAUCAGCACAAGACUGACCCACCUGCAGACCCCUG